AACGAACGCUGGCGGCAGGCCUAACACAUGCAAGUCGAGCGCGCCUUCGGGUGAGCGGCGGACGGGUGCGUAACGCGUGGGAAUAUGCCCUUCUCUACGGAAUAGUCCUGGGAAACUGGGGGUAAUACCGUAUACGCCCUUUGGGGGAAAGAUUUAUCGGGGAAGGAUUAGCCCGCGUUGGAUUAGGUAGUUGGUGGGGUAAUGGCCUACCAAGCCGACGAUCCAUAGCUGGUUUGAGAGGAUGAUCAGCCACACUGGGACUGAGACACGGCCCAGACUCCUACGGGAGGCAGCAGUGGGGAAUCUUAGACAAUGGGGGCAACCCUGAUCUAGCCAUGCCGCGUGAGUGAUGAAGGCCUUAGGGUUGUAAAGCUCUUUCAGCUGGGAAGAUAAUGACGGUACCAGCAGAAGAAGCCCCGGCUAACUCCGUG
rnacentral:rRNA from 1 species